rnacentral:rRNA from 1 species
GGCACGCCUUAUACAUGCAAGUCGAACGAAGUAGCAAUACUUAGUGGCAGACGGGUGAGUAACAUGUGGGUAUCUUCCCUUUGGUGAGGAAUAACACGAGGAAACUUGUGCUAAUACCUCAUAAGUCUUUACGGAGAAAGCUUUAUGCGCCAAUGGAUGAGCCCGCACUUGAUUAGUUUGUUGGUGGGGUAAUGGCCUACCAAGACUGUGAUCAAUAGCUGAUUUGAGAGGAUGAUCAGCCACAUUGGGACUGAGACACGGCCCAAACUCCUACGGGAGGCAGCAGUAAGGAAUCUUGCACAAUGGAGGAAACUCUGAUGCAGCGAUGCCGCGUGAGUGAAGAAGGCCUUUGGGUUGUAAAGCUCUUUCGUCGGGGAAGAAAAUGACUGUACCCGAAUAAGAAGGUCCGGCUAACUUCGUGCCAGCAGCCGCGGUAAUACGAAGGGACCUAGCGUAGUUCGGAAUUACUGGGCUUAAAGAGUUCGUAGGUGGUUAAAAAAGUUGGUAGUGAAAUCCCAGAGCUUAACUCUGGAACUGCUAUCAAAACUUUUUAGCUAGAGUAUGAUAGAGGAAAGCAGAAUUUCUAGUGUAGAGGUGAAAUUCGUAGAUAUUAGAAAGAAUACCAAUUGCGAAGGCAGCUUUCUGGAUCAUUACUGACACUGAGGAACGAAAGCAUGGGUAGCGAAGAGGAUUAGAUACCCUCGUAGUCCAUGCUGUAAACGAUGUGUGUUAGACGUUGGAAAUUUAUUUUCAGUGUCGCAGCGAAAGCGAUAAACACACCGCCUGGGGAG